rnacentral:tRNA from 1 species
GGGCGAUUAGCUCAGCUGGUUCAGAGCAGCUGCCUUACAAGCAGCGGGUCGGCGGUUCGAAUCCGUCAUCGCCCA